rnacentral:miRNA from 1 species
UGGCUGUGCAUGGACUGGCACUGCGGGUAGUCAGCCUUGGUGAAGAACUGGGCGCAGCCCACGAUGUUGGUGGCUGUGAGUGUUGUGGCUGUGUCAUCCCACAUGGCCAGCACACACAAGUCGUAGCCGGUCCCAGACACCAAGU